UGGUGUGGCGGAAUGGUAGACGCGCCUGACUCAAAAUCAGGUGGGAAACCGUGGGGGUUCGAGUCCCUUCACCAG
rnacentral:tRNA from 1 species